rnacentral:tRNA from 1 species
GCGGCUGUAGUAUAGAGGUAAUAUAACUGGCUUCCACCCAGUAGUCGUGGGUUCGAUUCCCGCUAGCCGCU